rnacentral:rRNA from 1 species
AGGUUAAGUGAAUAAGGGCGCACGGUGGAUGCCUUGGCACUAGGAGCCGAUGAAGGACGGGACUAACACCGAUAUGCUUUGGGGAGCUGUAAGUAAGCUAUGAUCCAGAGAUUUCCGAAUGGGGGAACCCAGCAUCUUUUAUAGGAUGUUACGUCUGCGUGAAUACAUAGCGCAGUCGAGGUAGACGCAGAGAACUGAAACAUCUAAGUACCUGCAGGAAGAGAAAGAAAAUUCGAUUCCCUGAGUAGCGGCGAGCGAAACGGGAAAAGCCCAAACCAACAAGCUUGCUUGUUGGGGUUGUAGGACUCCGAUAUGGUAGUCUAUUCAGAUAGUCGAAAUACUUGGAAAAGUAUGUCAAAGAGGGUAAAAACCCCGUAGRCGAAAUUUGGAUAACACCUAGGAGGAUCCUGAGUACGGCGGAACACGAGGAAUUCCGUCGGAAUCCGGGAGGACCAUCUCCCAAGGCUAAAUACUCCCUAGUGACCGAUAGUGAACCAGUACCGUGAGGGAAAGGUGAAAAGCACCCCGGAAGGGGAGUGAAAUAGAUCCUGAAACCGUGUGCCUACAACAAGUUAGAGCCCGUUAAUGGGUGAUAGCGUGCCUUUUGUAGAAUGAACCGGCGAGUUACGAUAGCAUGCGAGGUUAAGUUGAAGAGACGGAGCCGUAGCGAAAGCGAGUCUGAAUAGGGCGAAUGAGUAUGUUGUCGUAGACCCGAAACCAUGUGAUCUACCCAUGUCCAGGUUGAAGGUGCGGUAAAACGCACUGGAGGACCGAACCCACGUACGUUGAAAAGUGCGGGGAUGAGGUGUGGGUAGCGGAGAAAUUCCAAACGAACUUGGAGAUAGCUGGUUCUCUCCGAAAUAGCUUUAGGGCUAGCCUCGGAAUUGAGAAUGAUGGAGGUAGAGCACUGUUUGGACUAGGGGCCCAUCUCGGGUUACCGAAUUCAGAUAAACUCCGAAUGCCAUUCAUUCAUAUCCGGGAGUCAGACUGUGAGUGAUAAGAUCCAUAGUCGAAAGGGAAACAGCCCAGACCACCAGCUAAGGUCCCCAAAUAACUAUUAAGUGGAAAAGGAUGUGGGGUUGCACAGACAACUAGGAUGUUGGCUUAGAAGCAGCCACCAUUUAAAGAGUGCGUAAUAGCUCACUAGUCGAGUGACCCUGCGCCGAAAAUGUACCGGGGCUAAAUAGUUUACCGAAGCUGUGGAGUGCACCAUUAGGUGCAUUGGUAGGAGAGCGUUCUAAGGGCGUUGAAGGCAGAUCGUGAGGACUGCUGGAGCGCUUAGAAGUGAGAAUGCCGGUAUGAGUAGCGAAAGACAGGUGAGAAUCCUGUCCACCGAAUGACUAAGGUUUCCUGGGGAAGGCUCGUCCGCCCAGGGUUAGUCGGGACCUAAGCCGAGGCCGACAGGCGUAGGCGAUGGACAACAGGUUGAUAUUCCUGUACCCGUUGUUUUUGUUUGAGCAAUGGAGGGACGCAGGAGGCUAAGAAGUGCAGACUGAUGGAUAUGUCUGUUCAAGCAGUAAGUCUUGGUAGGAGUCAAAUGCUUCUACCUAUACGGACAAGCUGUGAUGAGGAGGGAAAUAAUAGUACCGAAGCUUCUGAUGUCACACUGCCAAGAAAAGCUUCUAGUGAGAAAACAACGGCCCGUACCGCAAACCGACACAGGUAGUCGAGGAGAGAAUCCUAAGGUGAGCGAGAGAACUCUCGUUAAGGAACUCGGCAAAAUGACCCCGUAACUUCGGGAGAAGGGGUGCUGCUCUAACGAGCAGCCGCAGUGAAUAGGCCCAAGCGACUGUUUAUCAAAAACACAGGUCUCUGCAAAAUCGAAAGAUGACGUAUAGGGGCUGACGCCUGCCCGGUGCUGGAAGGUUAAGAGGAGUGCUUAGCGUAAGCGAAGGUACGAAUUGAAGCCCCAGUAAACGGCGGCCGUAACUAUAACGGUCCUAAGGUAGCGAAAUUCCUUGUCGGGUAAGUUCCGACCCGCACGAAAGGCGUAACGAUUUGGGCACUGUCUCAACGAGAGACUCGGUGAAAUUUUAGUACCUGUGAAGAUGCAGGUUACCCGCGACAGGACGGAAAGACCCCAUGGAGCUUUACUGUAGUUUGAUAUUGAGUGUCUGUACCGCAUGUACAGGAUAGGUAGGAGCCGUAGAGAUCGGGACGCCAGUUUCGAUGGAGGCAAUGGUGGGAUACUACCCUUGCGUUAUGGCCACUCUAACCCGCAGCCCUUAUCGGGCUGGGAGACAGUGUCAGAUGGGCAGUUUGACUGGGGCGGUCGCCUCCUAAAAGGUAACGGAGGCGCCCAAAGGUUCCCUCAGAAUGGUUGGAAAUCAUUCGAAGAGUGUAAAGGCAGAAGGGAGCUUGACUGCGAGAGCUACAACUCGAGCAGGGACGAAAGUCGGGCUUAGUGAUCCGGUGGUUCCGCAUGGAAGGGCCAUCGCUCAACGGAUAAAAGCUACCCUGGGGAUAACAGGCUUAUCUCCCCCAAGAGUCCACAUCGACGGGGAG